rnacentral:rRNA from 1 species
GAGCGGGCAUCGCAAGAUGUCAGCGGCAGACGGGAGAGUAACACGUGGGAACGUGCCCUUCAGUUCGGAACAACCCAGGGAAACUUGGGCUGAUACCGGAUACGUCCGUAAGGAGAAAGAUUUAUCGCUGAAGGAUCGGCCCGCGUCUGAUUAGCUAGUUGGUGGGGUAAUGGCCCACCAAGGCGACGAUCAGUAGCUGGUAUGAGAGGAUGAUCAGCCUCACUGGGACUGAGACACGGCCCAGACUCCUACGGGAGGCAGCAGUGGGGAAUAUUGGACAAUGGGCGCAAGCCUGAUCCAGCCAUGCCGCGUGGGUGAUGAAGGCCUUAGGGUUGUAAAGCCCUUUCGGCGGGGAAGAUAAUGACGGUAUCCGCAGAAGAAGCCCCGGCUAACUUCGUGCCAGCAGCCGCGGUAAU